CUGCAAUUCUACACAGAGACGGAGCUUCAAUCAGACACUAGCUUUGGCUCUUCAGUUUUAUGGCCUCUCAUCUCACGCUUCGUGUCUUUGAAAAUGAAAUUUAUGAGCAGAGCUGUGAACUUUGCCACAUCACUAAUUUUAUGGCUGCCCUUGUCGAACUGUUUCCUGCUGUUCAUUAGCUACAUACUGAAAGGUAUCAAAUUUCAGAGUAUGCUGAAAAAGCAAAUCAAUGUCCAGGAAAAAGAGACUGCAUUUAUUUAAACUACCUCCUGCAAAUUAUACUUUUUUAAAAAAAGAUAUUGAUCUGUAUUAAAUAAAAAAGUGCAUGCAUAUAAAAUAAAAAGAGAGCUGUGGAUA